AGGAGAGGAACAGUCACCGAGAGGUUGGAGUCAUGGUUACACGUUUCUAGAAGACUCCUCGGUUUGGUGUUUUUCAUUUUCUUUUCUUUUGUCUUUGCUUUCUGCUUUCCCCAAAUGGUUUUAGGCCAUGCCAGGUCUCUCCUGAGACUCCCCAGUCCUCACUUGAGAGGAGAGGAAGCGAGGUCUCUCUGGGACUGGUUGCCUAGAGGCCGUGGGCAGGGUUCCUGGCAGGCUUGUGAAUCCAGGAGUCCAGCUGGAAGGGGCUCUUUGGCCCAUGUUUCCUCUCAUCCUGGUCCUCCUUCUCCCUCUUCUUUCUUGCCUCACCUUCUCCUGUUCUUACUUAUUCUUAUAAUCUGGGAUUUACAUCCCAGCCCUGAGGAGAUGUUUCUCAGCUCUCAUUUUUCAACUCUGGUCUCCUCUCCUGACUCUAGGCCUGUGGAAGUCUGAAAAUGCAAGGGAUAUCUAGCUUGAGAGGACAGUCCCCGUCUGUCUCCCUGUGUCCGGGAGCCGCCCCUUUCCCCAGUCCUGGGGCAGGGUAUUUCCCCACAGUUCUUUCUGCCCGUUUGUAUAGGCCUGUCUUGCGUCCUCUGGCAGAGGAUGGUCAUGGAGACAGCAGCAGCUCUAGUUAGCACUUGAGGUGGUUUGUGGGUGCAGUGGUAAUGAGGAGUGGUCAUUUUGUGCCAGGUGUGUGGUGUGACCAGGGUCCUCUGAACUUGGCAAUAGCCAACAUGAGAGACUGGGUGAGAGCCAAAGGUGAGAAGCAGAAAGACCAGUCACACCAUGCCAUGGGGCCAUGGGGUCAGGGGCGGACCAAUCACGUGUGAGCAUGCAAAUGAGCCAGGGCCUCUGGGGGUGGAGCCUCCCCCACAGGCUGUCCCUACAGGAUCCGGGGUCUCUCCACAAAUGUCCCGAGAUCGGACAUAAUAGAACUCUGCUUCCCUAGAACAUUUGUUAAGUUCUACUAUGGCUUGACAAAGAAAUACUCCGCAGCUAUAAAACUAUAUCUUUUUAUAGAAAUUACUCUUCUAAAGAGCAAGGCAAUGCACAGAAUUGUGUAUGGGCACCUCCAUUUGUGUUUCACCUCCGUUUGUGUUUUAUGGGGGAGGAUCAUAUAAAUCCAUAUUUUCAUAUCUUAUAGAUGCAUAUUCAGAAGACACGGGUAACACUGGUUGCCUCUGUGAAGAGGAACAAGGAGUUGCACAAUAGUCAGUGCUGGAGGCAAGAGGAAGAAAGAAAUGCGGUGUCCACCCCUUCCCCAGCCUGGUUGAAUAAGUCGCAAGUCAUUGCCUUGACUCCCAUGUCCAGACCAAGGCUGUGAGUGUUUGCAAGUGGAGUGUGCCUGUCUUAGUUGUGGCAUGAAGGAUCUUCAAUCUUAGCUGUAGCAUGUGGGAUCUAGUUCCCCAACCAGGGAUCCAACCAAGGGCCCCUGCACUGCAAGCAGGGGAAUGUUACCCACUGGACCAUCCGAGAAGUCCCAGAGCACUGCUAUAUUUAGGAACACUUACCACCUGGCAGGUUCAGUUACUGAAUAAGGUAAAAUCCCAGCCAAAAAUCAGUAGUAGUUUGUGUGGUGAUGAGAUACUAAUAAUUGUGUAGAAGAUCCUUGUAUACUUUAUACAAUGCUUGGUGGGUUUAGAAAAAGGGGAUACCCUUAACCAAAUAAAAAAGGUGUAUGAGGUCCUGCUGACAGCUUCUCUGAUGAAACUCAUCAGUGAGAAUCGGCUACCCUUUCCAGUAUUCUUGCCUGGAGAGUCCCAAGGACAGAGGAGCUUGGCAGACUACAGUCCAUAGGGUCGCGAAGAGUCAGACACAACUGAAUCAACAUAGCACAGCACAUAUCAGUGAGAAUGGGCUCGUUAAUUCUACAGCCUGUUUCCUUGUUUUAAGGGGAAACCCACCCCUCCAGCUGCUCCCAAAAAUGUUCUUUCUCAUUUAUCCAACCCUCUCCCUGAACUUUAUAUCUCUCCCUCUUGACUGGCUCUUGACUCACAUCUCGUUAAGUCUCUGCCAGGACCCUGACUCUCCAGGACAGGGUCUUCCCUCAGCUUGUGCUUCUCAGAUGCCUUCCUCCAAGGACAGCUCUCCUUUUCCCGCCUCCAGCUUUCCUUUCCCACCCAGUCCCUCCUUAUCCCGCUCUUCCAAAUGCUGAUGCAUAAUCACAGUCUCUUCCAGCCGCCACUUUCUGGACUUCUGGGUGGCAUUGGUCCUCUCUGAUUAGUCCCUACUGAAAACUCUCGCCUGUCAUGACCUCCUCCCAUUCUGACCCCUCUUGGGGCAUGCUGGCUGCUUCUCAGGCUCCUAUGAUGGCUCCUUUGCCUCUGCUGUGCCCACCAACCUGCUCAGCCCCACACAUAGGCAUCUUCUGGACUCUGGCCCUGCUCUCCUCUCUCCCCUCUGAGGAGUCCUCUCUGGGUGGUCUCAGGCUUCCUAUCUUUGUGCGUUAGUCACUCAGUUGUGUCCAACACUUUGCCACCCCAUAGAGUGUACCCUGCCAGGCUCUUCUGUCCAUGGAAUUCUCCAGGCAAGAAUACUGGAGUGGGUGGUCAUUUCUUUCUCUGGGGAAUCUUCCCAACUCAGGCAUUGAACCCAGGUCUCACACAUUGCAGGCAGAUUCUUUAUCAUCUGGGCCAAUAACUACCUUUUAUUGUUUGACACAAAUCUCUAUUUCUAGCCUAGAGGCUGUUCUCUGGCCCUUGAAACAUAUAGACCCAAUGGCCUUUUUUCUGGGCAUCUAUGCUGGGGCUUCCCACAGGAACCUCACCUCAAGCUUGUUGGAAUCCUCCUUCAACUUGCUGCUCUUCCUGUAGGUCCUUCUGGAGAAGGCCCCUCACCCCCAAGUCACCCAUUGGAGACCUGGCGUCCUUGUGUCGCCAAAGAGUCUGUAUCCUUUCUCACGCACCCAGCCAAUCAGACACCACGUCCUGCCGACACCCCCGGCCACAUUGCUCAGAUUCCUCACUUCUUCUCUGUCCUGGAGGUCACUGGCCUCAUCUGACCCUUUGCCUCCUGUCGCUGUCCUCGCUUCUGUCUUUGACACACUCGGUGCUCUCU